UUCACUGUGUCAAUAGAAAAGGAAUUUCAUAGACCUACAGUUAAGCGUGGAAUACAUUUAGGCAUAUUUUCCACAUUAUUUACACUAUAUACUAAACAAAUUUGACUGUUAAAAUAUGAUAUUUUGCAGCUGCGUGAAUAUAUUGAUGAUACAGAGGAUUAUAUCAAUAUUCAGCUUGAUAACCACAGGAAUCAGCUGAUUCAGCUUGAGCUUUUUCUCAGUGCUGGGACUCUAUGUAUGGCCAUAUUUUCAUUGGUGGCUGGAAUUUUUGGCAUGAAUAUCCCAUAUACGUGGAAUGAUGGUUACGGAUACAUGUUCAAAUGGGUUUGCAUUGUCACGGGAAUAGUCUGUGCUUGUGUGUUCAUAAUAAUCAUGUCAUAUGCUCGCUUCAAGGGGUUGGUCGGGUCGUGAACUUUAUGAAGGAAUUCUGAGAUUGAUCUUUUGGAUCGUCUGAGAAAUAGUGUCGAAGGGUUUUUAGCAAAUAUGUGAAGGAAUUUUGAUAAUUCUUUUGCCCUUAAAGACUGUCGAUGAUGGCUGUUAGGGUUGAAGAGGGAAAAGUCUCACUCUGGGAAAUUUUAUAUCGGAUCAGAUCUGGCAGCAGCCUUUCUAAUCCAAGGAUAUUGCAAAGUUUAAUAAUUGUCAACAACUUGAUUAACUGGAUUCAGUCACCAACACAGACUGUAAAACCAAUUACAGAAUGAAUACAUAUUUCUUGAUUUUAGUUCAUAAUUCUUGUUCUGUUACACACAAGUAUUCAAUCAAACAUACAAUACUGUAACUGUACUCAGCAACAAUUUAAUGCAUUCUUCAAAUUGCGCAU